rnacentral:rRNA from 1 species
GAGCGGUAGAGAGAAGCUUGCUUCUCUUGAGAGCGGCGGACGGGUGAGUAAUGCCUAGGAAUCUGCCUGGUAGUGGGGGAUAACGUUCGGAAACGGACGCUAAUACCGCAUACGUCCUACGGGAGAAAGCAGGGGACCUUCGGGCCUUGCGCUAUCAGAUGAGCCUAGGUCGGAUUAGCUAGUUGGUGGGGUAAUGGCUCACCAAGGCGACGAUCCGUAACUGGUCUGAGAGGAUGAUCAGUCACACUGGAACUGAGACACGGUCCAGACUCCUACGGGAGGCAGCAGUGGGGAAUAUUGGACAAUGGGCGAAAGCCUGAUCCAGCCAUGCCGCGUGUGUGAAGAAGGUCUUCGGAUUGUAAAGCACUUUAAGUUGGGAGGAAGGGUUGUAGAUUAAUACUCUGCAAUUUUGACGUUACCGACAGAAUAAGCACCGGCUAACUCUGUG